rnacentral:rRNA from 1 species
AUACUGCCAGACUGGAACCGGGAGAGGUAAGAGGUACUACGAGGGGUAGGAGUGAAAUCUUGUAAUCCCUGUGGGACCACCUGUGGCGAAGGCGUCUACAGAACGGUUCGACGGUGAGGACGAAGCGUGGGGCACGAACCGGAUUAGAUACCCGGGUAGUCCCAGCCGUAAACGAUGCUCGCUAGGUGUCAGGCAUGGCGCGACCGUGUCUGGUGCCGCAGGGAAGCCGUGAAGCGAGCCACCUGGGAAGUACGGCCGCAAGGCUGAAACUUAAAGGAAUUGGGCGGGGAGCACAACAACGGGUGGAGCCCUGCGGUUUAAUUGGACUCAACGCCGGACAACUCACCGGGGCGACAGCAAUAUGUAGGCCAAGCUGAAGACUUUGCCUGAAUCGCUGAGAGGAGUGGUGCAUGG